rnacentral:rRNA from 1 species
UACAGAGGUCUCAAGCGUUGUUCGGAUUCAUUGGGCGUAAAGGGUGCGUAGGUGGCGAGGUAAGUCGGAUGUGAAAUCUCAGGGCUCAACCCCGAAACUGCAUUCGAUACUGCCUUGCUCGAGGACUGGAGAGGAGAUUGGAAUUCACGGUGUAGCAGUGAAAUGCGUAGAUAUCAAGAGGAACACCAGUGGCGAAGGCGAGUCCCUGGACAACACCUGACACUGAGGCACGAAAGCCGGGGGAGCAAACAGG